GAUGAACGCUGGCGGCGUGCCUAAUACAUGCAAGUCGAGCGCACGGACAAGAAGCUUGCUUCUCUGAUGUUAGCGGCGGACGGGUGUGUAACACGUGGAUCCUCUACCUCUAAGACUGGGAUAAAUUCGGGAAGAUGGCGCUAAUACCGUCUAAUAUUUUGUACCGCAUGGUUCAAAUGUGAUAGACGGCCUUGCUGCUACUUAUAGAUGCAUCCGCGCUGCAUUAGCUAGUUGGUAAGGUAACGGCUUACCAAGGCAACGAUGCAUAGCCGAGCUGAGAGGGUGAUCGGCCACACUGGAACGAGGACACGGUCAAGACUCCUACGGGAGGCAGCAGUAGGGAAUCUUGCACAAUGGGCGAAAGCCUGACGGAGCAACGCCGCGUGAGUGAUGAAGGUCUUCGGAUCGUAAAACUCUGUUAUUGGGAAAGAACAGAUGUGGAAUUAACUGUGCACAUCGUGACGGUACCUAAUCAGAAAGCCACGGCUAACUACGUG
rnacentral:rRNA from 1 species